rnacentral:rRNA from 1 species
UACGUAGGGUGCAAGCGUUAAUCGGAAUUACUGGGCGUAAAGCGUGCGCAGGCGGUCUUGCAAGACAGAUGUGAAAUCCCCGGGCUCAACCUGGGAACUGCAUUUGUGACUGCAAGGCUGGAGUGCGGCAGAGGGGGGUGGAAUUCCGCGUGUAGCAGUGAAAUGCGUAGAUAUGCGGAGGAACACCGAUGGCGAAGGCAAUCCCCUGGGCCUGCACUGACGCUCAUGCACGAAAGCGUGGGGAGCAAACAGG